UUCUGCUCUCAGUUGGUAGAGCAUGAGACUCUGAAUCUCAGGGCCAUGGGUUCAAGCCCCACACCGAGCAAAA